CACCUCUAGCAUUAUCAGUAUUAGAGGCAAUGCCUGCCCAGUGACAUUAGUUAAACGGCCGCGGUAUCCUGACCGUGCAAAGGUAGCAUAAUCAUUUGUUCCUUAAUUAGGGACUUGUAUGAAUGGCCCCACGAGGGUUUGACUGUCUCUUACUUUUAAUCAGUGAAAUUGACCUUCCCGUGAAGAGGCGGGAAUACAUAAAUAAGACGAGAAGACCCUAUGGAGCUUAAAUUAAUUUGUUCAAUCAAAAUUCAAUUUUUAUCCAACAGGAAUAAUAACAUUUUAACUGAACAACAAAUUUUGGUUGGGGUGACCUCGGAGUACAAAAGAACCUCCGAGCGAUUAAACUAAGACAUACUAGUCAAGGCCAUAUAACUCAUUGAUCCAAUCAUAUUGAUCAACGGAACAAGUUACCCUAGGGAUAACAGCGCAAUCCUAUUUGAGAGUUCAUAUCGACAAUAGGGUUUACGACCUCGAUGUUGGAUCAGGACACCCAAAUGGUGCAGCAGCUAUUAAAGGUUCGUUUGUUCAACG
rnacentral:rRNA from 1 species